rnacentral:rRNA from 1 species
AGCAGCCGCGGUAAUUCCAGCUCCAAUAGCGUAUAUUAAAGUUGUUGCAGUUAAAAAGCUCGUAGUUGAAUUUCGGGGUCAAUAGGUUGGUCGUGCCAAUGGUAUGUACUGGCUUUAUUGAUUCCUACCUCUUGACGAACUGUGAUGCCAUUAAUUUGGUGUUGCAGGAAAUCAGGACUGUUACCUUGAAAAAUUAGAGUGUUUAAAGCAGGCUUACGCUUGAAUACAUUAGCAUGGAAUAAUGAAAUAGGACGUUUGAACCUAUUUUGUCGGUUUCUAGGAUCGACGUAAUGAUUAAUAGGGAUAGUUGGGGGCAUUAGUAUUCAAUUGUCAGAGGUGAAAUUCUUGGAUUUAUUGAAGACUAACUACUGCGAAAGCAUUUGCCAAGGAUGUUUUCACUAAUCAAGAACGAAAGUUAGGGGAUCGAAGACGAUCAGAUACCGUCGUAGUCUUAACCACAAACUAUGCCGACUAGGGAUCGGAUGAUGUUAAUUUUUAUGUACUCAUUCGGCGCCUUAAC